UACGGGGGGGAGCAAGCGUUGUUCGGAUUUACUGGGCGUAAAGGGCGCGUAGGCGGCGUGACAAGUCACUUGUGAAAUCUCCGGGCUUAACUCGGAACGGUCAAGUGAUACUGUCGUGCUAGAGUACAGAAGGGGCAACUGGAAUUCUCGGUGUAGCGGUGAAAUGCGUAGAUAUCGAGAGGAACACCGGUGGCGAAGGCGGCUAUCUGGACAGAAACUGACGCUGAGACGCGAAAGCGUGGGGAGCAAACAGG
rnacentral:rRNA from 1 species